AUGACAUAUUACAGGACUUGUCAUGCACAACUUUCUAAGGGGAAAAGGUGCUCGCAAAUGGCCAGUGACGCAAACGAUGCAGAGCAGGCAACCGAACAUCAGUUGGCAAGCAUCAGCCGCCUCACACCAGACGUCCUGCACGAGAUACUUCUCCGGCUUCCGGUCAGCACUCUGCAGAGACUCCGCGGGACGUGCCACCAAUGGCGCGGCGUACUCAGCGACCCGUGCUUCAUCAUGGAUCAUGCCAAUCGUGCACCGGAGCACCUCCUCCUCUUCCUGCCCAGGCUGGAGGCCUCGGCGAGCCUCAAGACCGCCAUGCCUGGCCGUGUGAAGCUCUUCGACGAGAAAUGGUCCGUGUCAACGUGGGCGGCGUCGUCCAUGGACCCGGACGACCACCUCUUCGCCUGCUGCAACGGCCUGCUCUGCUUCUACCGGAAGUACACGCUGAAGAUCGUCAACCCCGCGACCGGCCAGCGCCUGCACCUCUCGAAGCCCGACGGGAGAUCGCCCCGUGACCUGUACUACCUCUACAGCUUCGGGUUCCACCCGGCGACGGGGGAGUACAAGCUCGUCUACUUCCUCCGCGAGCCCCGGCACGGCCGGUCGUCGGGGCAGCCGUUCCGCUUCGACGCGAUACAGGUGCACACCCUCGGCGAGGGCGGGUGGAGGGACGUCAGGGCGCCGAGGGAGAGCUGCCUGGUGAACCUCGGCGUCGUCAACGUGGACGGGGCCAUGUACUGGCUCGCGGAGGAGGAAGGGGCCUGCUGCGGCGUGGCGGUCAUGGCGUUUGAUCUCAAGGAAGAGACAUUCUCGUCGCUGAGGCCUCCGCCGCUGAGAGGGUGCGGCGGGGCGACGGACGGGCCCUGCGGCGCUCCCGCGCUGUCCUACUACGUGACGGAGGUGGAGAAGAAGGCGUGCCUGGUGACCGCCCCAUUCAGCAGCAGCGCUCCCCGGUGGCGCCGCUACAACGCCGAGGUCUCCGGGAGGAUGGACGUCUGGACGCUCGAGAGCCGCGGCGAGGACCGGUGGUCGCUCAGGUACAGCGUCGACCUGUCGCCGUCGGCGCCGCGGUGCGUCCCGCAGCCGUGCUUCGUCCGCGGGGGGAAGGUCCUGCUGCACGGCCGCGACGGCGAUGCGUUCUGCCGGGACCUGCGGGGCGGGGGCGAGGACGACGGCGGGGAGGUGAGGCUGCUGAACUUGAGGCCUUACAGGUACUACGAGACGCAGGCGUACCUGUACAGGGAGACGCUCGUCCCGUUGGACGUGUACGCGGGGGCGGCCAUCGUUCGCUCGCCGCACUGGCCUCUCCCUCCACCAGGUUCCUGA
rnacentral:rRNA from 1 species